GUGAGGUCGCUGGUGGUGCGGGCGCUGAUC
rnacentral:antisense_RNA from 1 species